UUCCCUCGUCACAGCCUCUUCUUCUUUCGCUUUGAGUUCUUCAGUGAGGCGAGCGACGUCAGCCGUUCAGAGUGCCCAAGCCUCUUCGAGUUCAUGAGCCUGUUCGGCCAAUUUAUCCUCGUAGGACUUCAUCCAACCUUCGAGUUCGGCAAUAUAAUCUUGGGCAGAUGAAAUUUGAGCUUGGGCAGAGGAUGCGUCCUUGACCGCUUUUAGAAUUUCCUGCCUCAGAAGAUGAGCUUUUUCCCUGAUUAUAUGUUGGUUCACCAAGCUCUCUACGCUCAAACUCAUUGUCUGGGCCAGGAGAUCGUCAAUGCUACCCGGAGUCAGCCUAUUCCGAUCCUCCUGA
rnacentral:misc_RNA from 1 species